rnacentral:rRNA from 1 species
AUUGAACGCUGGCGGCGUGCCUAACACAUGCAAGUCGAGCGGUAACAGGUGUAGCAAUACAUGCUGACGAGCGGCGAACGGGUGAGUAAUGCUUUGGAAUCUUCCCAGUAGUGGGGAAUAACCAGUCGAAAGAUUGGCUAAUACCGCAUACGUCUGUAAAGGGAAAGCGGGGGACUCGCCUCUUCUUCGGAAGAGAGGCCUCGCGCUAUUGGAUGAGCCAAAGCGGAUUAGCUAGUUGGUGGGGUAAUGGCCUACCAAGGCGACAAUCCGUAGCUGGUCUGAGAGGACGACCAGCCACACCGGAACUGAGACACGGUCCGGACUCCUACGGGAGGCAGCAGUGGGGAAUAUUGGACAAUGGGGAAACCCUGAUCCAGCGACGCCGCGUGUGUGAAGAAGGCCU